GGUAAAAUGUCCGAACUUAUUACUUGCGAUCUGUUGUUGGGCAUAACUUUGUCAUUGUUUGAAACAUAGAAACAAAAAUUAUCCGUGAUAUUGUUUGUAACUUCGGAUCUUCUCUUCUUGAACGUCUGAACUUCGGACACUACCACUGAGCUAUUAGAGAUUGUGGCAGGCUAGGCUGUGUAACUAGGUCAUUGUUCCAUGCCAUUUGGUAGAAAUGCACACUGAAUAAGGCAAAUAAUAAAGCACUAAUGGAGACUACAGUAUGGUUCCUGUUACUCAUUUUCUUUUGGUUGAGGCUUACAUCUUGUGAAUAUGUCAUCCAGACUUUUGAUGGAGAAAUUGGAGCAGGAAAUUUUACUUAUUUUACAUUGAAGAAAGAAGGAGAAGUAACAUUAAUCCUGGAGAGCAUAGAGGGUGAUGCCGAUAUAUAUGUUUCACAAGAGAAUCUCAAGCCUGAUUUUGAAAAUUACGAUCUCAAGUCAGCAACUUGCGGUGAAGACAUUGUUACAAUUCCAAGUACUUAUAAGAGACCUAUUGGAAUCUCAGUGUUUGGCCAUGUAUAUGCCCCUACCACUAGAUACACUAUGAAAGUCUUAAUGGACUAUUCAUCUGGAGAUGAGAGUGAAAGAUAUCAUAGUGAAACUGAUGAGCCAGAGGAAUCACUUAUUUGGACAGUGUUUGUCAACAUUUUAAAGCUUAUUUUGGAGAUUCUUCUGUGAACAUUGAGGGUUUCCUUUCACAUGAAGAGAAAUUAUUGUUAUAGGUCUUGAGAACCCUUGCUUCAAGCUACUGCAAUAUGUACCAUGAACUAUUGAAAUGAUGUAUGAGAUUAGUGCCAGUACAGGCAUAUGGGGUAAGUUUGGCCCAUCAUAUUCCUUAAACAAGCACAGGGAACUAUCUUUUUAAUGUAUUUUUUUUCCAAAAUUGACAUUGGUAGGGAACAUUUCAGGAUAGUCAAAAAAAAGUUUGAUAACUUUUUUUUUCUGAGGAAUCACCUCAAGGUAUUUUCCGUUUUUCAGAUGGGCAGUUGUGAUUACUUUGGUUUUGGUAUUACUUCACUUAAUGGAAAGUGCUCUAUUAUUAGCAGCAGUACUAGUAUAAGUAACAGUAUUAGUACCAGUAUUAGUACCAGUAUCAGUACCAAUAUUAGUACCAGUAAGAUUUUCUCUUCUCACUAAGAUCGAGCAUAUUUUCAAAAGUGACAGAAAUAAUUACAGGUAUAAGACCCCUUCAAAGAAACAUCAAUCACCACUUUGCUGAGUAAAUGGAUGAGUAUUUACAUAUAAUUCUAAUCAGCUUCAUUGUCAUCACCCUUUGCACCAGGCUAACAUUAGCAUUCAUAUUCUCCACAGUUUUCUUUACAAUUCCUGUAGUACUCACAAGGAGAAUUUGUGUGACAAUCAGGAGCUUCUAAAAUGGUCAUCAUUUCUGUUAUUCCUUUGACAUUAACAUUUGAUUCAAGGGUUUCUUGUCAUGGAACAACAAAGUUGACAUCCUCUGAAGGAUUAUAACGAUACAAAACUCUGUUAUGCUACAAUUAAGGCCCAGAUAGCUCUGGUAUAUGAUUUUACUCUUGAGGAAAAUUUCCAUAAAUGCCCUUGUACUAAAAAUGUUCAGUAACUCAGAUCAGCAGAACUUGUCUAUGUUCAGUAGGCCCUACAUAUUUAUUUAUGAUCUGCUCACUAUGAGCUAUUAUGGAAUAAAUACACCUUACAUAAUUCCAUGAUUUUACAUAUAAAUUACAUAAACAAUUCUCCAUUUGGUGCAAAAAUAUGCUCACAUAUUUCUCCAUGGACAUCAUCUGUUCAGAGAGUAAAGCUCCAAGAAAGGUGUGAGCUUUGAGGAACAGAUAAUGUCCAAGGACAAAUAAGAGCAUAUUUUCGCGCCAAGUGGAGGAUAUUGCGUUUGACGAGCGGGAAAAAUGUUAUGAACAACUUACUGUUUACAGAAUGGUAUGUUUACUAUUCAGUGUUCUCUGAUAUGAUUUCAUGAAAAAUAAAAACAUGUUCCUUCUUCUGUAACAACCACAUUCACUUUCUCAUCUUGAAAUAAAUUUUAAAAGUAGGUUGUCUGUAUUGGAGGGUUUGAAAAUUGGGGAAUAUCACCUGGGUUUAUCCUUGGAUAUCCCCCAGUUUUAGUUGGGGGAAAUUCAGUUGUUUGAUUGCACGCAAGCAAAAAUAUUGGUAGGAUUGAAAGCAUAGAUACUUUGUGAGUUGC